rnacentral:rRNA from 1 species
UACAUGGGGUGCAAACGUUGCUCGGAAUUAUUGGGCGUAAAGCGCGCGUAGGCGGUUACUUAAGUCGGAUGUGAAAGCCCUCGGCUUAACUGAGGAAGUGCACCCGAAACUGAGUAGCUAGAGUACGAAAGAGGGUCGCGGAAUUCCCGGUGUAGAGGUGAAAUUCGUAGAUAUCGGGAGGAACACCAGUGGCGAAGGCGGCUACCUGGCCUGUAACUGACGCUGAGACGCGAAAGCGUGGGGAGCGAACCGG